rnacentral:rRNA from 1 species
UAACGCAUGCAAGUCGAACGAUAAAGCGAAUUUAUUCGCGAUUAAAGUGGCGAACGGGUGAGUAACGCGUGGGAAACCUGCCCUUCGAGUGGGGGAUAACAUUCCUAACGGAAUGCUAAUACCGCAUAACAUCACAGAUCGCAUGGUCUGUGCUCAAAGAUAGCCUCUACAUGUAAGCUGUCGCUCGAAGAUGGUCCCGCGUCCUAUUAGCUUGUUGGUGGGGUAACGGCCUACCAAGGCAUCGAUGGGUAGCCGGCUUGAGAGAGUGGUCGGCCACACUGGGACUGAGAUACGGCCCAGACUCCUACGGGAGGCAGCAGUCGAGAAGCUUCGGCAAUGGGGGAAACCCUGACCGAGCGACGCCGCGUGGACGAUGAAGUUUUUCGGAAUGUAGAGUCCUGUCAUAUGGGAUGAAAAAUUGAUUGGUUAAUUACCUUUCAAUCUGACAGUACUAUAAGAGGAAGCUCCGGCUAACUCCGUGCCAGCAGCCGCGGUAAUACGGGGGGAGCGAGCGUUAUUCGGAAUCAUUGGGCGUAAAGAGUUCGUAGGCGGUCAGAAUAGUCAGAGGUGAAAUCUAACGGCUUAACCGUUAAAUUGCCUUUGAAACUCUCUGACUUGAGUACGUGAGAGGAAAGCGGAAUUCUUGGUGUAGCGGUGAAAUGCGUGGAUAUCAAGAGGAACACCCGUGGCGAAAGCGGCUUUCUGGCACGAUACUGACGCUGAGGAACGAAAGCCAGGGGAGCAAACAGGAUUAGAUACCCUGGUAGUCCUAGCGGUACACGAUGGGCACUAGGUGUCGGGGGGCUUGACCCCCUCGGUGCCGCAGCUAACGCAUUAAGUGCCCCGCCUGGGGAGUACGAUCGCAAGAUUGAAACUCAAAGGAAUUGACGGGGGCCCGCACAAGCGGUGGAGGAUGUGGUUUAAUUCGAGACAACGCGAAGAACCUUACCUGGAUUUGACAUGUUUAGGACCGACUGAAAGCAGUCUUUCCCUUCGGGGAUCUUUACACAGGUGCUGCAUGGCUGUCGUCAGCUCGUGCCGUGAGGUGUUGGGUUAAGUCCCGCAACGAGCGCAACCCCUAUCUAUAGUUGCCAUCAGGUAAUGCUGGGGACUCUAUAGAGACUGCCGGUGACAAACCGGAGGAAGGUGGGGACGACGUCAAGUCCUCAUGGCCCUUACAUCCAGGGCUACACACGUACUACAAUGGCCGGUACAAAGGGAAGCAAUAUCGCGAGGUGGAGCGAAUCCCAGAAAACUUGUCUCAGUUCGGAUUGUAGUCUGCAACUCGACUACAUGAAGGCGGAAUCGCUAGUAAGCGAGGAUCAGCAGGCCGCGCUGACUCCGUUCCCGGGCCUUGUACACACCGCCCGUCAAGCGAUGGAAGCUGGGGGUACCCGAAGUCGGUGACCUAACCUUAGGGAUG